rnacentral:rRNA from 1 species
AUGUUUCUGUUUAUAACCAUAGUGUUCUUCCUCGGUUUGUGUUGUAACCCCAGUCCGUGGUUAAUGGGGGAUUCCAAUCUUUUCCUUUGGUGAAAACUGUCGGUCUUUUCCCUGGGGUCGUCUAGUCCGUGGGUGAACGCGCUGGAGCGGGAUCAUUUUCUUGGAACGCGCUUCGCGCGCACCCAGUACAACCCUUGUGUGAACCUUAUACCUACUGUUGCCUCCUGCUGCAGGCCCGGCCUCUUCACUGAGGCCCCCUGGAAACAGGGAGCAGCCCGCCGGCGGCCAACCAAACUCUUGUUUCUAUAGUGAAUCUCUGAGUAAAAAACAUAAAUGAAUCAAAACUUUCAACAACGGAUCUCUUGGUUCUGGCAUCGAUGAAGAACGCAGCGAAAUGCGAUAAGUAAUGUGAAUUGCAGAAUUCAGUGAAUCAUCGAAUCUUUGAACGCACAUUGCGCCCUCUGGUAUUCCGGAGGGCAUGCCUGUUCGAGCGUCAUUUCAACCCUCAAGCCUGGCUUGGUGAUGGGGCACUGCCUGUAAAAGGGCAGGCCCUGAAAUCUAGUGGCGAGCUCGCCAGGACCCCGAGCGUAAGUAGUUAUAUCUCGCUCUGGAAGGCCCUGGCGGUGCCCUGCCGUUAAACCCCCAAAUUCUGAAAAUUUGACCUCGGAUCAGGUAGGAAUAACCCGCUGAACUUAAGCAUAUC